rnacentral:rRNA from 1 species
GGUUAAAAAGCUCGUAGUUGGAUUUCUGUUGAGGACGGCCGGUCCGCACUAUGUGCGUGUAUCUGGUUCGGCCUUGGCAUCCUCUUGAGGAACGUUCCUGCGCUUGACUGCGUGGGGCGGUAUUCAAGACUUUUACUUUGAGGAAAUUAGAGUGUUCACGGCAGGCAAGCGCCUUGAAUACAUUAGCAUGGAAUAGUAAUAUAGGAUCUUGGUUCUAUUUGUUGGUUUCUAGGGCUAAGGUAAUGAUUGAUAGGGAUAAUUGGGGGCAUUUGUAUUAACGCGUCAGAGGUGGAAUUCUUGGAUUGCGUUACGACAAACUACUGCGAAAGCAUUUGCCAAGGAUGUUUUCAUUGAUCAAGAACGAAAGUAUGGGGAUCGAAGAUGAUUAGAUACCGUCGUAGUCUAUACCAUAAACUAUGCCGACUAGGGAUUGGAGGUCGUUCUUUUAUGACUCCUUCAGCACCUUAUGAGAAAUCAAAGUCUUUGGGUUCCGGGGGGAGUAUAGUCGCAAGGCUGAGACUUAAAGGAAUUGACGGAAGGGCACCACCAGGAGUGGAGCCUGCGGCUUAAUUUGACUCAACACGGGGAAACUCACCAGGUCCAGACAUAGUAAGGAUUGACAGAUUGAUAGCUCUUUCUUGAUUCUAU